CAUGCAGUCGAGCGGUAGAGAGAAGCUUGCUUCUCUUGAGAGCGGCGGACGGGUGAGUAAUGCCUAGGAAUCUGCCUGGUAGUGGGGGAUAACGUUCGGAAACGGACGCUAAUACCGCAUACGUCCUACGGGAGAAAGCAGGGGACCUUCGGGCCUUGCGCUAUCAGAUGAGCCUAGGUCGGAUUAGCUAGUUGGUGAGGUAAUGGCUCACCAAGGCGACGAUCCGUAACUGGUCUGAGAGGAUGAUCAGUCACACUGGAACUGAGACACGGUCCAGACUCCUACGGGAGGCAGCAGUGGGGAAUAUUGGACAAUGGGCGAAAGCCUGAUCCAGCCAUGCCGCGUGUGUGAAGAAGGUCUUCGGAUUGUAAAGCACUUUAAGUUGGGAGGAAGGGCAGUUACCUAAUACGUGAUUGUUUUGACGUUACCGACAGAAUAAGCACCGGCUAACUCUGUGCCAGCAGCCGCGGUAAUACAGAGGGUGCAAGCGUUAAUCGGAAUUACUGGGCGUAAAGCGCGCGUAGGUGGUUUGUUAAGUUGGAUGUGAAAUCCCCGGGCUCAACCUGGGAACUGCAUUCAAAACUGACUGACUAGAGUAUGGUAGAGGGUGGUGGAAUUUCCUGUGUAGCGGUGAAAUGCGUAGAUAUAGGAAGGAACACCAGUGGCGAAGGCGACCACCUGGACUAAUACUGACACUGAGGUGCGAAAGCGUGGGGAGCAAACAGGAUUAGAUACCCUGGUAGUCCACGCCGUAAACGAUGUCAACUAGCCGUUGGAAGCCUUGAGCUUUUAGUGGCGCAGCUAACGCAUUAAGUUGACCGCCUGGGGAGUACGGCCGCAAGGUUAAAACUCAA
rnacentral:rRNA from 1 species